rnacentral:SRP_RNA from 1 species
GCUGGGCGUGGUGACGCACACCUGUAAUCUCAGCACUUUGGGAGGCUGAGGCAGGAGGAUCGCUUGAGCUCAGGAGUUCAAAACCAGCCUGGGGAACAUGAUGAAACCCUGUUUCUACUAAAAAUANNNNNNNNNNUAUUUUUAGUAGAAACAGGGUUUCAUCAUGUUCCCCAGGCUGGUUUUGAACUCCUGAGCUCAAGCGAUCCUCCUGCCUCAG